ACGGUUACCUUGUUACGACUUAACCCCAAUCAAUGGUCCCACCUUAGACGGCUCCCUCCCUUUCGGGUUAGGCCACCGGCUUCGGGUGUUACUAUCUCUCAUGGUUUGACGGGCGGUGUGUACAAAACCCGGGAACGUAUUCACCGCGAUCUGCUGACUCGCGAUUACUAGCGAUUCCGCCUUCAUGAAGUCGAGUUGCAGACUUCAAUCUGAACUGAGACCAACUUUCUGAGGUUCGCUCCACGUCACCGCUUCGCAUCUCUUUGUAUUGGCCAUUGUAGUACGUUCGUAGCCCAGGUCAUAAAGGGCAUGAUGAUUUGACGUCAUCCCCACCUUCCUCCAACUUGUCGUUGGCAGUCUCAUUAGAGUCCUCAACUGAAUGGUAGUAACUAACAAUGAGGGUUGCGCUCGUUGCGGGACUUAACCCAACACCUCACGGCACGAGCUGACGACAACCAUGCACCACCUGUAUCCAUUGCCCGAAGAGGGUCUAUCUCUAGACCUGUCAAUGGUAUGUCAAGACCUGGUAAGGUUCUUCGUGUAUCUUCGAAUUAAACAACAUACUCCACCGCUUGUGCGGGUUCCCGUCAAUUCCUUUGAGUUUCAGUCUUGCGACCGUACUACCCAGGCGGAGAACUUAAUGCGUUAACUUCAGCACUGACUUGCGCCAACACUUAGUUCUCAUCGUUUACGGCGUGGACUACCAGGGUAUCUAAUCCUGUUUGCUCCCCACGCUUUCGUGUCUCAGCGUCAAUUCCGGCCCAGUAGGUUGCCUUCGCCAUUGGUGUUCCUCCAUAUAUCURCGCAUUCCACCGCUACACAUGGRAUUCCACCUACCUCUACCGUAUUCAAGUCUACCAGUUUCACACGCCCUACACAGUUGAGCUGUGAUCUUUUACGACGG
rnacentral:rRNA from 1 species